AGAGUUUGAUUCUGGCUCAGGAUGAACGCUGGCGGCGUGCUUAACACAUGCAAGUCGAACGGAGUUUUAACGGAAGUUUCGGAUGGAAGUUAAAAACUUAGUGGCGGACGGGUGAGUAACGCGUGGGUAACCUGCCUCAUACAGGGGGAUAACAGUUAGAAAUGACUGCUAACACCGCAUAAUAUAGCGAAACCGCAUGAUUUUGCUAUCAAAUAUUUAUAGGUAUGAGAUGGGCCCGCGUCUGAUUAGCUAGUUGGUGGGGUAAAAGCCUACCAAGGCGACGAUCAGUAGCCGGCUUGAGAGAGUGACCGGCCACAUUGGGACUGAGACACGGCCCAAACUCCUACGGGAGGCAGCAGUGGGGAAUAUUGGACAAUGGGGGAAACCCUGAUCCAGCGACGCCCGCGUGAGUGAAGAAGUAUUUCGGUAUGUAAAGCUCUAUCAGCAGGGAAGAUAAUGACAGUACCUGACUAAGAAGCCCCGGCUAACUACGUGCCAGCAGCAGC
rnacentral:rRNA from 1 species